rnacentral:rRNA from 1 species
AACGAACGCUGGCGGCAUGCCUAACACAUGCAAGUCGAACGAGACCUUCGGGUCUAGUGGCGCACGGGUGCGUAACGCGUGGGAAUCUGCCCUUGGGUUCGGAAUAACAGUUGGAAACGACUGCUAAUACCGGAUGAUGACGUAAGUCCAAAGAUUUAUCGCCCAAGGAUGAGCCCGCGUAGGAUUAGCUAGUUGGUGAGGUAAAGGCUCACCAAGGCGACGAUCCUUAGCUGGUCUGAGAGGAUGAUCAGCCACACUGGGACUGAGACACGGCCCAGACUCCUACGGGAGGCAGCAGUGGGGAAUAUUGGACAAUGGGCGAAAGCCUGAUCCAGCAAUGCCGCGUGAGUGAUGAAGGCCUUAGGGUUGUAAAGCUCUUCUACCCGGGAUGAUAAUGACAGUACCGGGAGAAUAAGCUCCGGCUAACUCCGUG